rnacentral:lncRNA from 1 species
GUGUCCAUUUUGGGAUCACAUCUGUUAAUUUUUUUUAUCGUUCUAAAUUUUCAUUUCGCACUAUAUAUAAUGAGUUAGCAUCCACUUCGACCUUUUUCUCUGGCAUUUUUAUCUGAAUCAUCGUCUACCGGCCAUCUAGAUGUGUUUCACCUAUGGAAGCAUGAUUUAGAAUAGCCAUUGUUAUAAUAUUUUGGCAGGCAUAUAAUGUUGCCAUGGCAAUUU